rnacentral:lncRNA from 1 species
AUACAGACAUACUCAGUCAAAAUAGAGAGAGAGAGAGAGAGAGCAAACGUCCUGAAUCCGUCGUCUUACAUAACUCUAUAAAAGAGUUAUCAAAGGUACCAGGAUUAUAAUGCAAUACACCAGACCCGCGUUUUGUCUACAUAAGACUCAUCAGUGACUCUCAGAUCAAAAUAGUUAUAAAGCCAAAAUGACAUGAGUGAUUGGGUUUAUCUGAAUAUCUCUCCAAUUUUUAAGGUUUAUGUAUUCUCUACGUUUAAAAACAAUGAAAAGGUUUUAUAAAGUAUUUUGUAAGCAAGGAACCAAUGCAUUAAACCAGUUUUAUAAUGCAUUAUUAACACAUAAGCAACAAUAAUAUAAAUAUUGGUUUGUUAAAUAUAUAUGAAUUACGGUGACAUCAGCAUACAUAUGUCUGGAAAGACCAAAUAUGUCUGGCUAUACCAAAGUAAAUUAAGACUGUCCACAAUUUGCAUGUUUCUUGUAUUCAACCACACAGGUAAUAUUUAUUUUUUGUAUUUGUACUCUGUUUUAUCGUUCUAUAUACAGAGAACAAGAACACUGUUCAAAAUCUAAUUCUGUGAAGAGUAGUCCAUUUAGCAUAUAUAUUACAUUGAUAAAUACCAAUAACGCAUCAUGCUAGCUUCAUUUUUACACGAGAGAGAUGAACAACAAAUAGAAAAUACGGUCUAGCCAAUAUAAUUAACAAUAUAUUUUUACAAUACUCUGCAAAAGAUGCGAAUUAAACACACAAGGUCCUCGCAUAUUUAGUUACAAAUUUUGUCUUCUUUUUUUCAUUAUUUAAUAUAUAUUUUAUUGUUUAUCGUAUGUUCUAUUCCAUUCAAAAUGUUUUGUCUAUAUGACAUAAUACAGAAG